GUUCAUCGGCUAAAGGGUGAAAGCCCUAUUUCAGAGAACCCAAGAGAGCGACUGACACAGAUUGCGAAGAGCAAGAAUGGAGCAAGGGAGUAGCGUCGAUCUGUACUUCCUCCCUGAAGGUUUUAUUUCGAACAUUCUAUCUCUCACAUCUCCUCCAGAUGCGUGCAGGUCGUCGGCUGUCUCUUCAGUUUUUCAAUUGGCGGCCGAUUCUGACUGGGUGUGGGAGACAUUCUUGCCCUCCGAUAUCCAGCAGAUUCUUUCCUCAUCGGUGUAUACGUCUCUGCCGACUUUCUCAUCUAAGAAGGAGCUCUUUCUCCAACUCUGCGAUAAUCCCCUUCUCAUCGACAGUGGCACUAAGACCUUCGCAUUAGAGAAAUGCAGUGGGAAGAAGUGUUAUAUGAUUGGAGCAAGAGAGCUUACCAUUAUCUGGGGUGAUACCCCAAUGUAUUGGAACUGGCUUCCCCUCCCUGAAUCCAGGUUUUCAGAGGUGGCUAAGCUCUUGAAUGUUUGUUGGCUUGAAAUUCGUGGCAAAAUAGAGACACGAAUGCUGUCCCCAAACACGAAGUACGGAGCAUACCUGGUGCUCAAGGUCACUGACAUGGCCUACGGAUUCGAGGAACUUGUAGAAGUCUCAGUCAAAUGGGCUAGUGGUACUGGUCGUGCUGAAGAGGGAGAAAUGAAGUAUGUCUCUUUGAAUCCGGUGAACCCGGAGGAAGAAGAGGAAGAAGAGGAAGAAGAGGAAGAAGAGGAAGAAGUGGCGGAUCCACGAUCAGAGGUACAAGUGCACCCAAAGGAAGAAGAGGAAGAAGAGGAAGAAGUGGCGGAUCCACAAUCAGAGGUACAAGUGCCCAAGGAGAGAGGGGAUGGGUGGAUGGAGAUAGAGAUGGGUGAGUUCUUUAAUGAAAGAGGUGAGGAUGGGGAGGUGGAGAUGAGUCUUAAGGAGGUCAAGGUUCUUAACUGGAAGUCUGGUCUCAUCAUCCAAGGCAUUGAGCUCAGACCCAAAGAGAACCAAUGAAUCGAUAUGACCCAAAAAGGUUGAUUUGGUCUUACUUUCAUAAUGAUGUUUAGAUGCCAUUUUCACAUUCUAGGGGUACGAGCUUGUUUGUUAUUGUUACCUAAUUCACAAUGCCCCUUACUUUAUACCAAUUAGGGAACAGUUGCAGUCGUUAAAUGGUUCAGGGAGUGCAAAUGUGCCACUGACUUUGAAGAUUGAAGAUUGAAGAUUGAAGAUUGAAGAUUGAAGAUUGAAGAUUGAAGAUUGAAGACAAUGAAGCUUUGUAGCUGCAGAAUUCCUAAACAUCAAAAACUUCAGAUUUGCCCCAAGGCAUUCACUUAUAUGGAGUAUUUGGAUUGCAUGCAAUGAUAAGUUUUUUCGAGGAAGAUCUCAAGCACCCACCCAGCUGGUUUCUUCAGUUAUUCAACUUUAUCAAGAGUAUCAACUAUUACUGUCAAUCCUAUAUAUAUAUAUAUAUAUAUAUUGCGUGGCUCUCCCCUCCUAUUGGUUUUAUAAAAAUAAAUGUUGAUGGAUCGAGUCUUGGGACAUCGAGACCUGUGGGAAUUGGAGGCAUUGUCAGAGAUUCUAAUGUCAACUUCAUCACCAGAUUUGCAGAAUAUACUGGGCUGAAUUUAGCCUAUGUUGCGGAAGCGCUGACAAUUAGGCAGGGUCUUCAAAUUGCUAAGUCUUAAGGUUUUUCCAAUUUCAUUGUUGAAGGAGAUUGCGCUCUUUCUAUCAAUAUCUUAAAAGGGUUCUAACACUA